AAAUUGAAGAGUUUGAUCAUGGCUCAGAUUGAACGCUGGCGGCAGGCCUAACACAUGCAAGUCGAACGGUAACAGGAAACAGCUUGCUGUUUCGCUGACGAGUGGCGGACGGGUGAGUAAUGUCUGGGAAACUGCCUGAUGGAGGGGGAUAACUACUGGAAACGGUAGCUAAUACCGCAUAAUGUCGCAAGACCAAAGAGGGGGACCUUCGGGCCUCUUGCCAUCGGAUGUGCCCAGAUGGGAUUAGCUAGUAGGUGGGGUAACGGCUCACCUAGGCGACGAUCCCUAGCUGGUCUGAGAGGAUGACCAGCCACACUGGAACUGAGACACGGUCCAGACUCCUACGGGAGGCAGCAGUGGGGAAUAUUGCACAAUGGGCGCAAGCCUGAUGCAGCCAUGCCGCGUGUAUGAAGAAGGCCUUCGGGUUGUAAAGUACUUUCAGCGGGGAGGAAGGGAGUAAAGUUAAUACCUUUGCUCAUUGACGUUACCCGCAGAAGAAGCACCGGCUAACUCCGUGCCAGCAGCCGCGGUAAUACGGAGGGUGCAAGCGUUAAUCGGAAUUACUGGGCGUAAAGCGCACGCAGGCGGUUUGUUAAGUCAGAUGUGAAAUCCCGGGCUCAACCCGAACUGCAUCUGAUACUGGCAAGCUUGAGUCUCGUAGAGGGGGGUAGAAUUCCAGGUGUAGCGGUGAAAUGCGUAGAGAUCUGGAGGAAUACCGGUGGCGAAGGCGGCCCCCUGGACGAAGACUGACGCUCAGGUGCGAAAGCGUGGGGAGCAAACAGGAUUAGAUACCCUGGUAGUCCACGCCGUAAACGAUGUCGACUUGGAGGUUGUGCCCUUGAGGCGUGGCUUCCGGAGCUAACGCGUUAAGUCGACCGCCUGGGGAGUACGGCCGCAAGGUUAAAACUCAAAUGAAUUGACGGGGGCCCGCACAAGCGGUGGAGCAUGUGGUUUAAUUCGAUGCAACGCGAAGAACCUUACCUGGUCUUGACAUCCACGGAAGUUUUCAGAGAUGAGAAUGUGCCUUCGGGAACCGUGAGACAGGUGCUGCAUGGCUGUCGUCAGCUCGUGUUGUGAAAUGUUGGGUUAAGUCCCGCAACGAGCGCAACCCUUAUCCUUUGUUGCCAGCGGUCCUACUGGGAACUCAAAGGAGACUGCCAGUGAUAAACUGGAGGAAGGUGGGGAUGACGUCAAGUCAUCAUGGCCCUUACGACCGUGGCUACACACGUGCUACAAUGGCGCAUACAAAGAGAAGCGACCUCGCGAGAGCAAGCGGACCUCAUAAAGUGCGUCGUAGUCCGGAUUGAGUCUGCAACUCGACUCCAUGAAGUCGGAAUCGCUAGUAAUCGUGGAUCAGAAUGCCACGGUGAAUACGUUCCCGGGCCUUGUACACACCGCCCGUCACACCAUGGGAGUGGGUUGCAAAAGAAGUAGGUAGCUUAACCUUCGGGAGGGCGCUUACCACUUUGUGAUUCAUGACUGGGGUGAAGUCGUAACAAGGUAACCGUAGGGGAACCUGCGGUUGGAUCACCUCCUUACCUUAAAGAA
rnacentral:rRNA from 1 species